GGUGUUGGGAGGCAAACACCGGUUUAAACUUCAUAACGCUUUUGUGCUCCGAGAGUAAUGCCCUCUGAGCAAACUGAGCAUCCGCUUAAAAACUGUCCCCCCCAAAAACUAGACGUAGCGAGCAGAGACAGCGCCGCUGUAAGUUACAUGCUAAAAAGAGGCGAUACAGUGACAUUCACAAAAGUAAACAACUAAAACCAGGAGAAGCUCUAUUCAGGGACAAAGAAAAAAACACAUUUGGUAUAACCAGUCAAAUGACAUUCCAGGAACAUUCACGUGGCUGGGGGUCCCUAGUGGCUGAAACUACAAAACGUUUGGCUUCUCUGUUUAUUUAGUGACAUAAAAUGUGGAAGGCUUUUGCCAGAUCAUUUGGAAGAGACUUAGUGGAAUAUGAAUGGUAUCAAACACUGAUGAAGGCAAAAGAGCUGCUGCUCUCCAGCACCUGGCAGCACAGUUUUAUGGUUGCAUUUGGCUUGAGAAAUCCCAUCUUUCAAAUUCUUGCCAAAUAGACAUUGCUGUGUGUUUUAGAAGAAAAAGAAAUCAUCUACUGCACCUGUUGUUAUUUAUGGAUAGCAGUAAAAAGCUCUGAAGAAGGUUCUGUUAUGGACAAUGGAGAUGAAAACUGAAGUGCAGAAUAGGAAUAAUUCAGGGACAAGAACUGAAUGAUGAACUUCCAUUUCACAAGGAUGGAGCCCUUAAGAGAAUAAGCUACAGCAAAGGUGAUAGUUCUGGAAGAUGAGCUGGGGGUGUGACCAGUCAACCCAGUUAAACAGAAUUUGACAGCGUGAGUUAAACAGAACUUCUGGCCAUAAUUCAGGUGGCUUUCAGGACUGAGAAGGCUUUUUUUAGUGUAAAUGGUCUGUAAGUCUGAGGUUGGGGAUGGUUUUUGAGAUUGGUCCUGAUGGUUAACCCAGCAGUCCUCUGGUGGCAUAUAACACCUUCAUGUCAAUUUUUCCUGCUAUUUCCUUUGAUUUCUCUAGAUGUAAAAAGUACUCUACUGAAAUGGCAAACUAUAAAAUAGUAAUAAGUAAAGCAAAUAAGCACAUCAGUAAGCAUUAAUAAAAGUAAUGGCACCAAGUAAUUAUGCACGUGAUUCGGGAUGUUUUCACAUCCAUAAAAGAGGUUGAGUAUGUUCAGUUUCAAAUAGUGAUUUAUCCUUUUUCUCCUAAAGUUUAUUUUCAGAAGUGCACCUGAGUUGUAGCUUUCCUAAUGCAAAAGUUUUGGAGUGUUGUCCUUACUUGCCAAAACUCCCUCCUCUAACUGAACUAACUCUCUAGCAAGUGCAAAGUCUCAGAGGAGUGAAGCAAGGGAGAGCUUUGCCACUUCAAAUAUAAAGAGCUAGAACCAGACAAAAGUCUGACUGCUUCUUCUACAUGAAAGGCAUGCUCUGAGUUAAAACAGAGACUUGGGAAGAGAUUCCUGACAAUCCAGACUUGUUUUUCCCACUGGUGCCAAGAGGAUGUGACCUCUUGGACGGUACCAUUGGUCACCUCUGGGUACUGCUGGUGGUGGAGC